CCUACGGUAGGCUGCAGUGAGGAAUAUUGGUCAAUGGGCGCAAGCCUGAACCAGCCAAGUCGCGUGAGGGAAGACGGCCCUACGGGUUGUAAACCUCUUUUGCCGGGGAGCAAACCUGAGCACGUGUGCCCAGGCGGGGAGUACCCGGCGAAAAAGCAUCGGCGAACUCCGUGCCAGCAGCCGCGGUAAUACGGAGGAUGCUAGCGGUCUCCGGAUUUAUUGGGUUUAAAGGGUGCGCAGGCGGGCUGUUUAGUCGGCGGUAAAAAUUCAGGGCUCAACCGUGUCGAGCCGUCGGAACUGGCAGUCUUGAGUGGGAGAGAAGUAGGCGGAAUGCGCGGUGUAGCGGGGAAAUGGAUAGAUAUCACGCAGAACGCCGAUUGCGGAGGCAGCAUACCGGCGCCCAACUGACGCUGAGGCACGAAAGCGUGGGGAUCGAACAGGAUUAGAUACCCCGGUAGUC
rnacentral:rRNA from 1 species